UGAGUAACGCGUGGGUAACCUGCCUUAUACAGGGGGAUAACAGUUAGAAAUGACUGCUAAUACCACAUAAGCGCACAGUCUCGCAUGGGACAGUGUGAAAAACUAAGGUGGUAUAAGAUGGACCCGCGUCUGAUUAGCUAGUUGGUGGGGUAAAGGCCUACCAAGGCGACGAUCAGUAGCCGACCUGAGAGGGUGAUCGGCCACAUUGGGACUGAGACACGGCCCAAACUCCUACGGGAGGCAGCAGUGGGGAAUAUUGCACAAUGGGGGAAACCCUGAUGCAGCGACGCCGCGUGGAGGAAGAAGGUUUUCGGAUUGUAAACUCCUGUCGUUAGGGACGAUAAUGACGGUACCUAACAAGAAAGCACCGGCUAACUACGUGCCAGCAGCCGCGGUAAAACGUAGGGUGCAAGCGUUGUCCGGAAUUACUGGGUGUAAAGGGAGCGCAGGCGGGAAGACAAGUUGGAAGUGAAAACCAUGGGCUCAACCCAUGAAUUGCUUUCAAAACUGUUUUUCUUGAGUAGUGCAGAGGUAGAUGGAAUUCCCGGUGUAGCGGUGGAAUGCGUAGAUAUCGGGAGGAACACCAGUGGCGAAGGCGGUCUACUGGGCACCAACUGACGCUGAGGCUCGAAAGCAUGGGUAGCAAACAG
rnacentral:rRNA from 1 species